UUUUUAUAUAUGGGCGCGCCCACACCGCGGUAAUUCGUAGGGUGCAAGCGUUAUCCGGAAUUAUUGGGCGUAAAGGGCUCGUAGGCGGUUCGUCGCGUCCGGUGUGAAAGUCCAUCGCUUAACGGUGGAUCCGCGCCGGGUACGGGCGGGCUUGAGUGCGGUAGGGGAGACUGGAAUUCCCGGUGUAACGGUGGAAUGUGUAGAUAUCGGGAAGAACACCAAUGGCGAAGGCAGGUCUCUGGGCCGUUACUGACGCUGAGGAGCGAAAGCGUGGGGAGCGAACAGGAUUAGAUACCCUGGUAGUCCACGCCGUAAACGGUGGAUGCUGGAUGUGGGGCCCGUUCCACGGGUUCCGUGUCGGAGCUAACGCGUUAAGCAUCCCGCCUGGGGAGUACGGCCGCAAGGCUAAAACUCAAAGAAAUUGACGGGGGCCCGCACAAGCGGCGGAGCAUGCGGAUUAAUUCGAUGCAACGCGAAGAACCUUACCUGGGCUUGACAUGUUCCCGACGGUCGUAGAGAUACGGCUUCCCUUCGGGGCGGGUUCACAGGUGGUGCAUGGUCGUCGUCAGCUCGUGUCGUGAGAUGUUGGGUUAAGUCCCGCAACGAGCGCAACCCUCGCCCCGUGUUGCCAGCGGAUUAUGCCGGGAACUCACGGGGGACCGCCGGGGUUAACUCGGAGGAAGGUGGGGAUGACGUCAGAUCAUCAUGCCCCUUACGUCCAGGGCUUCACGCAUGCUACAAUGGCCGGUACAACGGGAUGCGACGCGGCGACGCGGAGCGGAUCCCUGAAAACCGGUCUCAGUUCGGAUCGCAGUCUGCAACUCGACUGCGUGAAGGCGGAGUCGCUAGUAAUCGCGAAUCAGCAACGUCGCGGAAUGCGUCCCCUGACCUUU
rnacentral:rRNA from 1 species